GGAAAAAGCAAAGUAUUAGAAUCCAGGGACUAAAAAUACUGUGUGUCAUGAUGGAUUUAUUAAAAAAAAAGAAGAAAUCCAGGCUGAUCUAACAGAUUGGAACCCUUGAUCUAAAUUAUCAAAAUUUCACAGGCUUGCUUUACACCAGAUAAAGCACUGAAAUAUCUCCCAGCUUCCUUUUAUAGUUGCCUCAGAGAAGAGGCACGUGCACCUUUAUUGCUACUCAACACACAUAAGGCUUGGAAAGAGUAAAGAAAGCAGCUACAUCAGCUAAAGAAAAGGCAAAGUAAGCAAAGGAAAUGAAUCCAAUUAUUUUAUCUUUGUACAGCUAAAUAGCUUUUCUGUCAAAAAGAGUGAAGAAGAAAACCUUCCUUCCUCCCCUGCCUUUUUAAUUGGUUAACUGUUGUUUUCCAGUUAUCACCAAAAGUCACCAAAUGAGGGAGUUUCUGGUGAAUGUGGUUCACUAUACCACUGUUAAAGGUAGACGCUAAGCUGCUCCUUCUCUUUAAAAGUGAUGAACCAUUACUACAAAGCUAUCUUUAAAGCAUAUCUUCUUUCAAUUAUCCCUGGGAAAAAUAAAAUGCUAUUCUAGCUAAAUGAUCUAAAUAUGUUGAGUGAUUCCAGAGGCUGUUCAAUAUAUGUGCAUAAGAAAUGAUAUUUUACAUACCACUCCGUUUUUAGAUCUGUACCAAAAGCUUACCACUAUUUUUCCUGUCUGUUCACAGACUCAGAGGUAUGCAGAUGUUGCUCUAGAGAAACGACAGACUUCUCACAAGCUGCUGCCUGGUGGGAAAAAGAGAAUGACCCCUGUUCUGCCAUAUUCACCUGGGAAAACUGGCAGACCUGCAGAAAUGGUGGUGUUGACUGCUUAUGAUAGCAGCAACAGAUCUUCUGCCAGCUGCUUGCACACUAGGUCUGAGGUCUUGCUGUUCCACCAGCCUGCUGCACUUGACACCUGCUUUGGCAUGUGCUUGGAAGGUAUUUGAAGUGUCUGAGUUGCUCUGAGGCUUCAUAGUCUGGCCUUGCAAAGAAAUCCCUUCAAUGGUGCUAUGCUGGGAGAAGUGGGUGCAGAAACAAGGAUGGAGAAGCUGGCAGAGAGAGGAGAAAGACUGAAAACUGUUGAAGAAAUUCUCUCUCCGCUUGUUCAAGCUGUGGCCUGAGCCAGUGAGAUGACCCUUCUCUAUUUGCUGUCUCCUCCUAUGAUUUAUUUUGUCCAAAGUGACAUGUCUGGGAGAAAGGAAACCCUUGGAAUCCUUUUCACCUAUGGUAUACCACUCUGUGGUAUUUUUAUGAUAUCUUAGAAAGACUUGUGGGUAAUCCAGUCCUAAAAGUGUCCUGCCACAUUACUGAACAGGGUAAAGGCUAAGUACAUACACAUCUUGAUACUGAAACCAAAAGAAUCCUAUCUUCAGUGAAUCACAGAGUGCUUCUGGCUUUACAAUCUUUAUGACAAAGAAAAAGGAAGACCUUCUGUUAAGGGGUGAAAAAAUCAUGUCUGAGACUGACUACAGAACAGCACCUCUCUGUUCUUCUCUUUCGUCUCAUAGUGAAUAGCACUUAUACUUCAUCAAAAAACGUGAUUUCCAAUUUACAGGUGGAACAACACAAAUGCAGAGAUGGAUCCCCAAAUCCUCAGUGAUGUUCUAGUUUGAUUUCUGUUUGAUACCUACUGAUCCCUAGCUCUUGACAAUGCUCAACAUCCAGAGUAAAAUUAACUGAUGAAGAUUCCCCAGUAGAUCAACAGCAGAAGCAGAU
ensembl:lncRNA